CUGCCAUGGGCGCAGGAAAUUUGAGAGGAGCUGUCCUUAGUACGAGAGGACCGGGAUGGACACAUCACUGGUGUUCCGGUUGUCGCGCCAGCGGCAUCGCCGGGUAGCCACAUGUGGAAGGGAUAACCGCUGAAAGCAUCUAAGCGGGAAGCCCGCCUCAAGAUUAGAUUUCCCUGGACUUCGGUCCCUUAAGACCCCUCGAAGACGACGAGGUUGAUAGGCUGGAUGUGGAGGCGCAGUAAUGCGUGGAGCUAACCAGUACUAAUGGGUCGAGAGGCUUGUCUUC
rnacentral:rRNA from 1 species